rnacentral:rRNA from 1 species
UACGGGGGGGGGCAAGCGUUGUUCGGAAUUACUGGGCGUAAAGGGCUCGUAGGCGGCCAACUAAGUCAGACGUGAAAUCCCCAGGCUCAACCUGGGAACUGCGUCUGAUACUGGAUGGCUUGAAUCCGGGAGAGGGAUGCAGAAUUCCAGGUGUAGCGGUGAAAUGCGUAGAUAUCUGGAGGAAUACCGGUGGCGAAGGCGGCAUCCUGGACCGGCAUUGAUGCUGAGGAGCGAAAGCCAGGGGAGCAAACGGG